CCUGGUUUUCUCUGGUGCAUAGA
rnacentral:miRNA from 8 species